rnacentral:tRNA from 1 species
CUGGUUCGAGUCCAGGAUAGCCCACCUACUAUGUAUUCAGAGUCAGAUGGGGGUAUAGCUCAGUUGGUAGAGCGCUGCCUUUGCACGGCAGAAGUCAGCGGUUCGAGUCCGCUUACCUCCACUCUCUAGGGUUCAAAAUUUAAAGAGUUAAAAGCCCGAGAAUACAGUAGAUCAUCAUCAAAACUGUACAGCACCUAAAAGUCAGAAUUGACGUUAGGAUGCUGGACGAAAGUUCAGCCAGAACCUUGAAAACUGCA